UACAGAGGUGGCAAGCGUUGUUCGGAAUUACUGGGCGUAAAGGGCGCGUAGGCGGCCCGUCAAGUCCCGUGUGAAAGCCCCCGGCUCAACCGGGGAACGGCGCGGGAAACUAGCAGGCUUGAGUUCGGGAGAGGGAAGCGGAAUUCCGGGUGUAGCGGUGAAAUGCGCAGGAUAUCCGGAGGAACACCGGUGGCGAAGGCGGCUUCCUGGACCGACACUGACGCUGAGGCGCGAAAGCUAGGGGAGCAAACGGG
rnacentral:rRNA from 1 species